rnacentral:rRNA from 1 species
GUUUACGGCCAUACCACCCUGAACAAGCCCGAUCCCGUCUGAUCUCGGAAGCUAAGCAGGGUCGGGCCUGGUUAGUACUUGGAUGGGAGACCACCUAGGAAGACCAGAUGCUGUAGGCG